rnacentral:misc_RNA from 2 species
UUGAAAUCCUUAGGAUGUUGCUGGCCUCUCGGGGCAUGUGCACUCCGCCUUUUCAAUUCACCUGUGAACUCAUUGUAGGCCGGACUUUUAAAAGUCUGUGUCUAUGUUUUUAAUACACCCCAUUUAAAAAGUUUAACAGAAUGUCAUAAUAGACCUUUGAUGGUCGAAAUAAAUUAAUA